rnacentral:rRNA from 1 species
AAUUCGAUGCAACGCGAAGAACCUUACCAGGUCUUGACAUCCUUUUGAAUGGUCUAGAGAUAGAUCAGGCCUUCGGGACAGAAGAGACAGGUGGUGCAUGGUUGUCGUCAGCUCGUGUCGUGAGAUGUUGGGUUAAGUCCCGCAACGAGCGCAACCCUUAUCAUUAGUUGCUAACAUUCAGUUGAGAACUCUAAUGAGACUGCCAGUGAUAAACUGGAGGAAGGUGGGAUGACGUCAAAUCAUCAUGCCCCUUAUGGCCUGGGCUACACACGUGCUACAAUGGCCGGUACAAAGAGUUGCGAAACUGUGAAGUUAAGCUAAUCUCAUAAAGCCGGUCUCAGUUCGGAUUGUAGUCUGCAACUCGACUACAUGAAGUCGGAAUCGCUAGUAAUCGCGAAUCAGAAUGUCGCGGUGAAUACGUUCUCGAGUCUU